GUGUGCUUGGUGUAACGGUAACACACAGCACUUGAUAUAAUCGCUGAGUAUGGGGUUCGACUCCCCGAGCCCGCC